GCAUGACUGAAUUCUGCAUUAGCUUUUCUAUAGUUAAAGCAGUCAGACAUCAUGCUAAAUUAUCUUCACCUUGACAUAAAUUGCCGUUGUGUCCUGUCAUAAUGAGUAUUCGAAAGGUGAGCACAAGA